rnacentral:tRNA from 1 species
GCGGGAGUAGGGGAGAUAUCCACAGAUGGAGAGGGAGGGAAGAGAUCGCGAAAACCCUUGUGGUACAAGGGUUUCCAUCACUCUUUGUCCUCGUCAUUCCCUGCCUCCGGUCCCUUCCCAAGCUGGACGUCGCCGGUUCGACCCCGGUCGCCCGCUCCA